UACAGAGGGUGCGAGCGUUAAUCGGAAUUACUGGGCGUAAAGCGUGCGUAGACGGUAGCGUAAGUCAGAUGUGAAAGCCCCGGGCUCAACCUGGGAAUUGCAUUUGAGACUGCUCUGCUCGGGUGCGGAAGAGGGAAGCGGAAUUUCCGGUGUAGCGGUGAAAUGCGUAGAUAUCGGAAGGAACACCAGUAGCGAAAGCGGCGCACUGGACCACAACUGACGCUAAGGCGCGAAAGCUAGGGGAGCAAACAGG
rnacentral:rRNA from 1 species